CUACGGGGGGCACCAGUAAGGAAUAUUGGUCAAUGGGCGAAAGCCUGAACCAGCCAUGCCGCGUGAGUGAAGACGGCCUUCGGGUUGUAAAACUCUUUUCUAAGGGAAGAACCAGCAGGACAGGAAAUGGUCCCGCUCUGACGGUACCUUAGGAAUAAGGAACGGCUAACUCCGUGCCAGCAGCCACGGUAAUACGGAGGUUCCAAGCGUUGUUCGGAUUUACUGGGCGUAAAGGGAGCGCAGGCGGAAGGGUCAGUCUGAAGUGGAAUCCCGGGGCUCAACCUCGGACGUGCUUUGGAUACUGCCCUUCUUGAGUCCGUGAGAGGAAAGCGGAAUUCAGGGUGUAGCGGUGAUAUGCUUAGAUAUCCUGAGGAACACCAAUGGCGAAAGCAGCUUUCUGGCACGUGACUGACGCUGAGGCUCGAAAGCGUGGGGAGCGAACGGGAUUAGAUACCCUCGUAGUC
rnacentral:rRNA from 1 species